GCACCAUGAAAAAUAGUAUAAAUAUUAUUUUUGUAUCACAUCUUUCAUACAAGCUAGGUCCUACAAUGUAUUACACAGUUACAUAAUACAGCUAAAAAGUUAAAAAAUAGAAGUAUAGCAGAGGGAGAGAGAAAUGAAGAGGGGUAAGUAAAGGAGGAAGCAUAUGCUUUCAGCUGAGAUUACAAAAUAGAUGGGAAGAUGGAGAGUCAAAAGAAGGUUAAUCUAGAGGGCAAGUGCUGCAGAGGAGAAGGCUCUUGCACCAAACUGGCAAGAUUAUUGCUUAUACAUUGUAGUAAAUGUAUAUAGGGCUUGAGGCCUCUGUUCACGAGGUACUUACAUUCAUAAGUAGUUCCACUGACUUCAGUGGGAAUUCUCAUGUGCUUAAAGUUAGGCAUGAGCUUAAGAACCUUGCUGAGCCCUGUGUCUUACAGAACCCGGGAAAGUCAGGGAGGCUGGUUCUUCACUCUUCUGCGGUGCUGCGAAUGGAGAAUCAGGACCCAGUGUCUGAAGAACUUGGACCUGCUCCUGCGUUCCUUACACUCGAAUGCCCACAAAUCACUGGGAGCGUUGGGUGUGUGAGGAAUUAGUCACCGGGAGAUCAAUGUCGAUUCCGGGAGACUCCAGGCCAAUCCGGGAGGGUCGACAACCCUAAGUUGUGGGCGUACGGCUUGUUGCAGGAUCAACCCAUUUUCGUGAGAAGGCUGCUGAGAUGCUAAAGUGCUCAAGAAAGUGGGGUGCUGAAGAGAAACUUGUGGACUGGCCUCUCUGGACAGGAUAUUACAGCGGUGACAGAGCAAGCCACCCAUCCCAUCCAUAUGCUUCAACUCUACCUUGGAGAUAACGAAAGACUAGAUCAUGCUUUAUGCUUCAUCCAGUUCUUGGCCUCUUUAAUGAGAAUGCCAACAGGGAGCCAUUGGUGGUGGUGAUAUGGCAUGGCCCAGCCCAUUGCUAUGAUCUUCAGGUUGCUGUAGAAGCUUAGACAAGAAGGGAACAAGGAAAGAGAUUUCAGAGAUGGCAUCGCAUGAUGUAGCAACCUGCCACCGAACCAGGAAUGGACACUUCUGAAAAAUUAA